rnacentral:rRNA from 1 species
UACAGAGGUCUCAAGCGUUGUUCGGAUUUAUUGGGCGUAAAGGGUGCGUAGGCGGCGCGCUAAGUCAGGUGUGAAAUUUCGGAGCUCAACUCCGGAACUGCAUUCGAUACUGCGGUGCUUGAGGACUGGAGAGGAGACUGGAAUUCAUGGUGUAGCAGUGAAAUGCGUAGAGAUCAUGAGGAAGACCAGUGGCGAAGGCGGGUCUCUGGACAGUUCCUGACGCUGAGGCACGAAGGCCAGGGGAGCAAACGGG